UUUCAUUUCUCUUAAUUAAAAAUCAAAAACCUUUCCCUCUUAAUUGAGAAAAAAUUAGAGAAAACUAUUUCCUAUUAAAUUAACAUGAUUCUACCAGAUUGCAUAAAUCUUUCACCUUAUGAAAUUAAUUUGAUUUUCAUGAGAGUCUGGCAGCAAUGCAUUGGUCUCAAAAUAAUGGCAUAUAUUAUAAUAAAAUAUUUUUAAUCAAUGAAAGUUUUACCUAACAUGUCAACAGAAAUCUAAGAAAUCAUAUCAUUUAUUAAUUAUCUUCAUUUUGAAGGGACUAAACCAAAAAAGUUUAGAUAACUUUAUCAGAACAGAAAUUGAUGAGUAAAUGUGUUUUCAUCCCUUAAUUUUCUCAUUAUCUUUUAGCAAUCUCGUGGGCAAGCUCCUUACCCACCCUGAGUCUCUGUUUUUCUAACUGCAAAAUGGGGUUAUAAUAAUAUGAGGCUCAGAGAAGAUAUUUGUGAGGGGCCUAGUACAGGCAAGGCCCGGCAUGUUGUGGACACCAUCAUUCUUUGCUUAUUCUGUUCUUUCUCAUGAACCAAGAAAGACCUUCCUAUUAGAAUAUCAGAGUCAGUUCUCUGAAUGGCUUUCCAGGCCAGGGUUUGCGUUUUGGGAAUGCUAUCACAUAGCUCACCCUCAGAGUCCAUUCCUCACAGGUUGGUGUUUCCACAGAGUGUGUUUUGCCUGUGGUGCAAAUCAGGCACCUGUUCCAAACAGCACAGCACUAUUAUCAGGGCGCAGUGAGGGCAAAUGUCUGUGAGACACUAUGAUACAGUCCCUUGAGAAUAACCCUUUGGGAGCUUCUCAGAGCAAUCUGGUGUCCAGUCUUCACACUCUGAGGGUUCCAUAUUUGUAUUAUGACUAAUAAUAGUUUUUACCUGCAUGGCGCUUGACAGUUUUCAUAGGAUUUCCACGUGUUUUGUCUCCUUUGAUCUUCAUAGCUAUCCUAGGAGGCCUGCAGUUCAGGUCAUAUUAUUUCCCUUUUAUGCAUGAGAAAGUCAAGGCUUGGAGGGGUUAUGACUUGUCCAAAGUUACAAACCUAGCAAGUGCCAGGCCCAGUAUCAAAUGGCUCCUACAGGCCCCAUCCAGAAUUUUUCCAUUGGAUAGUGUGCUGCCUAAUUCUCCACCACGGGCAUUUUAGCAGGUGGCUCUGGGAUGAGAUAUACGCGAUGGAUUUGUCUCCUUGUCUUCCAUUACAUGGAUGGGAGAGUGUCAUAGUCAAUGUGGACUCUAGAGUCAUUGUUGGAUCUUGGCUCCAUCUCUUGUUAAUUAUGUUGUUGCAAAUUAUUUAACCACUCUGGGCCUCAGUUUCUCCAUAUAUAAAUGAGAAUAACACUGGUACCCAACUUAUAGGAGUAUUGGAGAUUUAAAUGAGACCAUCUAUGAAAAACACUAGCACAAAGCCUGACACCCAAAUGAAUGUUAACUAAAGCCCCUCUUCCUACUUGGUGUGAUCAGAGAAAGUGAAAGCUUACCUUCCAACAAAAUGUCUGCACAGCUGGCCUUUCACUAUGCUUUGGACUUCAGGCAUUGGUUUCAGGAGGGCUUUGUUGUAAAAGAACCAUUUUUCAUAGGCACCUGCCCUGCACUGCACCGGGCAUCUUCAGCAUCCUCAACCACGUUAUCACAGUUAAUCACAUUGGGGACAGGUAGGUAUUGAUUAUUUCCAAAAAAUAAAAAAAAUCACCCAUUAACUCUUGUUAACAUUUUGGUAUAUUCUUUGUCUGUCUUGUAUAACCUUUAAGAAACUGGAGCUGAAGCUGGUACCAGAAGGGCAUUCUGACCCUCCUCUGUCCCCCUGAAAGCCACAUGGAAGUUACUUUUCCUGUACCCAAAGGAUAGAAGGCACUCUUAUCACUAGAGAUAGGGAAUUUAGGGCCAAGAAGGCUGUAUUAGCAAAACUAGUUGUUUCUUCACUAAUAUAAAGCUGAAACCCCUUUUUCUUGUCGAUUCUUCACAAAUUUAUCGUUUCCUUGUCUGAAAGGUAUAAAAGUUUCCUGCUUUGGUCACCUCUUUGAGUCUCAUGUUUUUUAUGGGGCUCUCAUAUGAACAAAAUUAAUUUUUUUCUCCCGUUAAUCUGUCUAAUGUCAAUUUAAUUAUUAGGCCAGCCAAAGCAGCAAGAAGGGAAGAAGGAAAAAGUUUUUUUACCCGUGUAGUUUCGGUGCCUAAUGUGGAGCUCUCCACUGGCUGCAGCCGCUGAGAGGUCCCGGGACCUGUGACAGGAGCCAGCAGAAGCUACAACUCUCCAAACUAACAUCUCCCAUCCCUUUGACUUGUAAUCGUUGAGAAACUGAAACUGCCCUUUCCCAAAGCCAUGAGCGCUGAAGUUGGACAACUUGAUAUAAACUUCAGAGAAAUCACCAUAAUAGUUCACAUGUGGACAGUCUUCAUGACUGCUGGCUGCUGUGUGAUCACUCAGAAGGAUCACCAGAGAUAUUCAAACAGCAAACCAGGAAAAUUUGUCAGAGUGCCCCUGCCUGUCCUCACUCCAUUGGAAGAUGUUUUGAGCCUGACAUCUAAAAAUCUUCUUGACUAGCUGCCUUCAGAACUCAGACACUGCAAUUAUAGUCUGUUCCAAUAAUUAACUAUUGUUUUUAUUUUAUUUCCAUAGAAAUGUAUCCUAUUAAAUACUUGGUGCAGGUGCUCAUACCAUGUAAGCCUAACCUUGGGAGCCUACCUGCAACACCGCCUCCUGAAAUGAGACACAACUGUUUAACUGAACUGACCUGUUUUCAUAGACAAGAGACUUGUUCAAUGAGAUAAGGGAGAAAUUUGCCAAUCAGCUUCUGAAUUGUGAAACUUCUUUGAAGUUUCAAAGAUGGGGCAGAAUAUUGCCACCCCAAAAUAUGCCACUUUGGCAUAUUGAUGAUUUUGAACUAAAGUUACUUGAGAAACAGCCAGUAUAAGAACGCUCUGACCCUCCUCUGUACUCCAAAAGUAGAAAAUAAAUCUAUCAUGUGAAAGGUAUUCUCCCUGUACCAGAAAGGAAGAAGCAUUUAUCACUGGAGACAGGGGAUUUAGAGUUGAGAAGACUGGAUAAACAAAACAUGUUACUUCUUCACUAAUUUACUACCUCAAACCCAAACCCCUUUAUCUUGUCAAUUCUUCACAAAUUUAUCAUUUCCUUGUCUGAAAGUUAUAAAACUGCUUGCUUUGUUUCCUUCUUGGAAUCUCAUAUUUUUUAUAGGGCUCCUGUAUGUAUGAAAUUAAAAAUUUUUCCCUCCUAUUAAUCGAUCUUAUGCUGAUUUAAUUAUUAGACCAACCAAAGCACGUAGAAGGGGAAAAGAGAAAAUAUUUCCACCCCUGCAGGUUCAUAUUGUAUAAAGAUUUUUUGUGGUGUGCUUUCUUUUCUUUUCUUUUCUUUUCUUUUCUUUUCUUUUCUUUUUAU